rnacentral:tRNA from 1 species
GGAGGGAUGGCCGAGCGGUCAAUGGCAGCAGACUGUAAAUCUGCCGACGAACGUCUACGUAGGUUCGAAUCCUACUCCCUCCACCA